rnacentral:rRNA from 1 species
GACGAACGCUGGCGGCGUGCCUAAUACAUGCAAGUCGAGCGAGCGGAACCAACAGAUUUACUUCGGUAAUGACGUUGGGAAAGCGAGCGGCGGAUGGGUGAGUAACACGUGGGGAACCUGCCCCUAAGUCUGGGAUACCAUUUGGAAACAGGUGCUAAUACCGGAUAAGAAAGCAGAUCGCAUGAUCAGCUUUUAAAAGGCGGCGUAAGCUGUCGCUAAGGGAUGGCCCCGCGGUGCAUUAGCUAGUUGGUAAGGUAACGGCUUACCAAGGCAACGAUGCAUAGCCGAGUUGAGAGACUGAUCGGCCACAUUGGGACUGAGACACGGCCCAAACUCCUGCGGGAGGCAGCAGUAGGGAAUCUUCCACAAUGGACGCAAGUCUGAUGGAGCAACGCCGCGUGAGUGAAGAAGGUUUUCGGAUCGUAAAGCUCUGUUGUUGGUGAAGAAGGAUAGAGGUAGUAACUGGCCUUUAUUUGACGGUAAUCAACCAGAAAGACACGGCUAACUACGUG